AGCAGCCGCGGUAAUACGGAGGGUGUAAGCGUUAUCCGGGAUUUAUUUGGGUUUAAAGGGUACGUAGGCGGUAAUAUAAGUCAGUGGUGAAAUCCUGCAGCUCAACUGUAGAACUGCCAUUGAAACUGUAUUACUUGAGUAUACUUGAGGUAGGCGGAAUGAGUAGUGUAGCGGUGAAAUGCUUAGAUAUUACUCAGAACACCGAUUGCGAAGGCAGCUUACUAAGGUAUAACUGACGCUGAUGUACGAAAGCGUGGGGAGCGAACAGGAUUAGAUACCCUGGUAGUCCACGCCGUAAACGAUGAUUACUUGCUGUUGGCGAUACACAGUCAGUGGCUAAGCGAAAGUUUUAAGUAAUCCACCUGGGGAGUACGAUCGCAAGAUUGAAACUCAAAGGAAUUGACGGGGGCCCGCACAAGCGGAGGAACAUGUGGUUUAAUUCGAUGAUACGCGAGGAACCUUACCUGGGCUUAAAUGUACGGCGAUCGGUCUAGAGAUAGACUUUUCUUCGGACGACGUACAAGGUGCUGCAUGGUUGUCGUCAGCUCGUGCCGUGAGGUGUCGGGUUAAGUCCCAUAACGAGCGCAACCCCUAUCUUUAGUUGCUAACAGGUUAAGCUGAGGACUCUAGAGAGACUGCCACCGUAAGGUGAGAGGAAGGUGGGGAUGACGUCAAAUCAGCACGGCCCUUAUGUCCAGGGCUACACACGUGUUACAAUGGUCAGUACAAAGGGCAGCUACCUGGCGACAGGAUGCUAAUCUCUAAAACUGGUCUCAGUUCGGAUCGGAGUCUGCAACUCGACUCCGUGAAGCUGGAUUCGCUAGUAAUCGCGCAUCAGCCAUGGCGCGGUGAAUACGUUCCCGGGCCUUGUACACACCGCCCGUCAAACCAUGGAAGCUGGGGGUGCCUGAAGUCUGUUACCGAAAGGAGCGGCCUAGGGUAAAACUAGUGACUGGGGUUAAGUCGUAACAAGGUAACCGUA
rnacentral:rRNA from 1 species